UACAGAGGGUGCAAGCGUUGUUCGGAAUUAUUGGGCGUAAAGGGCGCGUAGGCGGUGCGGUAAGUCUGUAGUGAAAUCUCUGGGCUCAACUCAGAGUCUGCUGCAGAAACUGCCAUGCUUGAGUGUGGGAGAGGUGAGUGGAAUUCCCGGUGUAGCGGUGAAAUUCGUAGAUAUUGGGAAGAACACCGGUGGCGAAGGCGGCUCUCUGGACCGAUACUGACGCUGAGGCGCGAAAGCGUGGGGAGCAAACAGG
rnacentral:rRNA from 1 species